GAGUUUGAUCCUGGCUCAGGAUAAACGCUGGCGGCGCACAUAAGACAUGCAAGUCGAACGGAAGUCGUUGUAAUGAUGUGGACAUGGACAGAGAACUUGUUCGAAGAAAGUGAAAAUUGACUUACAACAAUGGCUUUAGUGGCGGACUGGUGAGUAACGCGUGAGCAACCUGCCUGUUAGAGGGGAAUAACAGUGAGAAAUCAUUGCUAAUACCGCAUAUGCCAUAACUAUCACAUGAUAGAAGUGGGAAAGGAGUAAUCCGCUAACAGAUGGGCUCGCGUCUGAUUAGAUAGUUGGUGGGGUAACGGCCUACCAAGUCUACGAUCAGUAGCCGGACUGAGAGGUUGAACGGCCACAUUGGGACUGAGAUACGGCCCAGACUCCUACGGGAGGCAGCAGUCGGGAAUAUUGCGCAAUGGAGGAAACUCUGACGCAGUGACGCCGCGUAUAGGACGAAGGUCUUCGGAUUGUAAACUAUUGUCGUUAGGGAAGAGAAAGGACAGUACCUAAGGAGGAAGCUCCGGCUAACUACGUGCCAGCAGCCGCGGUAAUACGUAGGGAGCAAGCGUUAUCCGGAUUUAUUGGGUGUAAAGGGUGCGUAGACGGGAAAUUAAGUUAGUU
rnacentral:rRNA from 1 species